rfam:Triticum aestivum genome assembly, contig: Triticum_aestivum_CS42_TGACv1_scaffold_030772_1BL
CAAGUACUCCCUCCGUCCGAAAAUACUUGUCAUCAAAAAAAAUAAAAAGGGAUGUAUCUAGAUGUAUUUUAGUUCUAGAUGCAUCCUUUUUCAUCCAUUUUGAUGACAAGUAUUUUCGGGCGGAGGGAGUAUAUA